UACGAAGGGGGGCUAGCGUUGCUCGGAAUUACUGGGCGUAAAGGGCGCGUAGGCGGGAUGGCAAGUCGGUCGUGAAAUCCCUCGGCUCAACCGAGGAACGUCGAUCGAUACUGCUGUUCUUGAGGAUUGCAGAGGAGACUGGAAUUCCCGGUGUAGCGGUGAAAUGUGUAGAGAUCGGGAGGAACACCGGUGGCGAAGGCGGGUCUCUGGGCAAUUCCUGACGCUGAGGCGCGAAAGCGUGGGGAGCAAACGGG
rnacentral:rRNA from 1 species